rnacentral:rRNA from 1 species
AUGAAAGAGUUAAUGAAAUAUAAAUUGUCUCAAAAUAAAAUAUUGAAUUUAAAUUAAAAGUAAAAAUGCUUUUAUGUAAUUAUAAGACGAUAAGACCCUAUAGAAUUUAAUAAAUUUUAUUUUUGUAAUUAUUUUAUUUAAUAAAAUUAUAUAAAUAAAUUAUAUUUUGUUGGGAGGAUAAUUAAAUAAGUUAAACUUUAAUAAAAUAUAAACAUUGAUGAAUGAAUAUUUUGAUUAUGU